UACGUAGGGUGCAAGCGUUGCCCGGAUUUAUUGGGCGUAAAGGGCGCGUAGGCGGCUCAUGAAGGCUGUGGUGAAAGUCCGGGGCUCAACCUCGGAUCGGCCGUGGCGACUCGUGGGCUGGAGCACUGUAGAGGCGGGUGGAAUUCCGGGUGUAGCGGUGGAAUGCGUAGAGAUCCGGAAGAACACCAGUGGCGAAGGCGGCCCGCUGGGCGGUGGCUGACGCUGAGGCGCGACAGCGUGGGGAGCAAACGGG
rnacentral:rRNA from 1 species